UCCCCAGGAAGACUUUUGAAACAAACAGGCCAGCGUGUUCCUGAGAAGGAGGGUUUCAGGUCCAAAUAAUUAGCAGCGGAGGAAGUGAGAGGAGUGCGUCUGUGUCCUUCCACAAGCUCCAAGGUAGCCAUGCUGAUCGUUCUGCAGCUAUUUUUACUUAUCCUGCUUCUGAAAGAAAUGUCCUCCUGCAGCGUGAUAACCCUGCUCUCUGAGGGUGUGCCAGCCAAGGAGAAGGCAGUUAACCCUUGCCAGGGAGGACUCCGGGAGAGGAGAGGGAGCAACACUGAAGCCAUCCUACCUGUGGCCGUGGACCGCAGAGGACAACCCGAGGAGGAACUUGAAUGAGAUGGAUCUCAGAAGAGUCAACUCCACAGAUGACCAGGAGAGGAAGCACGUCAGCCCCUGGGUCGACCCAAGCCAGCAGGCAGUCAGUGUGGGUGACGGUUCCCCCAGGCAGAGGGUGGGAUCGCCAUGGUCUGCUGGGGGCGAAGGGGCCAGUCUCCCGCCCGGCCCCAUUCCUGCUGCGGGACCGUCCCUGCUGCCCUGUACUCAUCUCCAGGCUCUGAUGCUCACAUGUGGCUAUGGUCCUGAAGUAGACCUUGUCUGUCAGUCCUGCCUCCACAGCUCAGUGACAGGAGAAGCUGAGACCCCAAAGGUUUUUCCAGCCCCUGGGAGAGGAGGAAGGGCCACAGGACCCCCACAGGCCCUCUUGGACUCUGAUGAAUCUGAGAAUCAACGGCAAACCACAGAUGCAGAAGCCCACACCCCAGAAACUCUGAUCCAACAGAUCCAAGGCAUCCCCGUGGUCCAUGCAGUUUACUUAUUGAUUCAUUUCUAAUUUUUUUAAUGUUCAUUUAGUUGUGAGAGACAGAGAGGGACAGAGCACAAGCAGGGGAGGGGCAGAAAGAGAGGGAGCCACAGAAUCCAAAGCAGACUCCAGGCUCUGAGCUGUCAGCAGGAGCCUGACGCGGGGCUCAAACCUAUGAACCGUGAGAUCAUGACCUGAGUCGGAGUUGGACACUUAACUGACUGAGCCACCCAGGUGCCCCAUCAUGCAGUUUGUUUAAAGUGGUAAAGGUGAUCCUGAUGGGGAAUCAGAUAGAGAACUAGUUCCCUGGGGAGUUGCAUACCCCAUUCUGGCCCCAACUCUAACCUCCCCACUCCGCUUCAGACUGUGGAAGGAGACAUACCUACAGUCUCCCUGGUAAGCAGGUGAGAGAACACUGAGGUUCUUGGUUACUCUACAAGCAAGAUGAAGAGGCAAAAGGGAGGCAUUUUCAGCUCUAGCUGGUUAACCCCUGGGUCAAGGGCAUAGGCAAAAUUUGAAUUUCCGCCUAUGACAGCCUUUCCAGAUUAGACAGAUGCACAUCUGGAGGGAGAGGGAUGAAUCAAAUGGCCUUUAGAUCUUUGGCUUUUGUGGGGUACCUGGGUGGCUCAGUUGGCUAAGCGUCUGACUCUUGGUUUCAGCUCGGGUCAUGAACUCACAGCUUCAUGGGUUCAAGCCCUGUGUCAGGCUCUGUGCUGGCAGCAUGGGACCUGCUUGGAAUUCUCUCUCUCUGCCCAUCCCCCCACUCACACUGUGUCUGUCUCUCUCAAAAUAAGUAAACUUAA